ensembl:misc_RNA Y_RNA Y RNA
GGCUUGUCCGAUGGUAGUGGGUUAUCAGAACUCGUUAGCAUUAGUAUCCCUAAAGUUGAUAUACAACCCUCCAGGCUAAAUUUGACUGGCAAAA